rnacentral:rRNA from 1 species
AACAUCGCCUCUUGAACCCUUAUAAGAGGUCCAGCCUGCCCAGUGACUCUGUUCAACGGCCGCGGUAUCCUAACCGUGCGAAGGUAGCGUAAUCACUUGUUCUUUAAAUGUGGACUAGUAUGAAUGGCAUCACGAAGGUUAUACUGUCUCCUUUUUCUAAUCAGUGAAACUAAUCUCCCCGUGAAGAAGCGAGGAUAAAACUAUAAGACGAGAAGACCCUAUGGAGCUUUAAACAUUUAUAACACUUGCUAAAUAAAAUACAAAUUUCAGAAUUAUUUACUCUUUAAGCAACUUGUCUAUAAGUUUUUGGUUGGGGUGACCGCGGAGCAUAAUACAACCUCCAUGUUGAAAGAUCUAUUUCUAAGCUAAGAGCUACACCUCUAAGCAUCAACAUAUUGACAUCCAUUGACCCAAUAUAUUUGAACAACGAACCAAGUUACCCUAGGGAUAACAGCGCAAUCCACUUCAAGAGCUCCUAUCGACAAGUGGGUUUACGACCUCGAUGUUGGAUCAGGGUUUCCCAGUGGUGCAGCCGCUACUAAAGGUUCGUUUGUUCAACGAUUAAAACC